rfam:Gammaproteobacteria bacterium RIFCSPHIGHO2_12_FTLL_63_22 rifcsphigho2_12_scaffold_59, whole genome shotgun sequence.
UUGUCGGCCCCUCGCGACGAUAGGUUGAAAACUCCGCCAGGGCCGGAAGGCAGCAACGGUAUUGACUGAUUCGGGCGCCGAGGCAAGCCGGCAAGGG